GUCUGCAACUCGACUACAUGAAGCUGGAAUCGCUAGUAAUCGCGAAUCAGAAUGUCGCGGUGAAUACGUUCCCGGGUCUUGUACACACCGCCCGUCACACCAUGGGAGUCAGUAACGCCCGAAGCCGGUGACCCAACCGAAAUCGGAGGGAGCCGUCGAAGGUGGGACCGAUAACUGGGGUGAAGUCGUAACAAGGUAAC
rnacentral:rRNA from 1 species